GUGACCGUGGCGGUGUAGGUGGAAGCAGCGGUGGAGGAGGAGGAUGAGGUAGCGAACACUGUUUUUUAUAUAUAUAUAUAUAUAUAUAUAUAUAUAUAUAUAUAUAUAUAUUUUUUUUUUUAAUUGGGGUAGCCCCCAAAAUAUUGGGACAUAUAAAGAAGACAACUCUGUUCCGCAGAGCAGCUGUUGACGUUAUAGUUGCGCAGGCACUUUGUUGACUCUAGAGAACCUCAGGCCAAUCGCACAUCCCCGUGACGGCGAAUUUGCAUUCGAAUGUCAUCCAUAUAAACUUUCGAUGCCAGUUUCUGCGCCUUCCAUGGUGACCAUGGGUAACGGGGAAUCAGGGUUCCAUUCCGUAAAGGGACCCUGAGAAACGGCUACCACAUGCAAGCAAAGCAGCAGGCGCGCAAAUGACCCACUCCCAACGCGGGAAGGUAGUGACGACAAAUAACAAUACAGGACUCUUUAGAGGCCCUGUAAUUGUAAUGAGUCCACUUGAAAUCCUUUAACUCUGAUCAAUUGGAGGGAAGUCUGGUGCAGAGCCACUGACCCGUGCGUGCUGCAGCUGAAACUCCACU
rnacentral:rRNA from 1 species